rnacentral:lncRNA from 1 species
CUCCCUAAGUACUCUUAAUGGGAACAAAUGGUUUAUCUUUUCAGAUCUGUAGAUAUUACUGCAGAAAUAUCCCUCUGGGAAAAGGCUGCAUAAGUUCUGGCCACCGUGUAAAUCUCACACUGAAGACUCACUUGGGAAGAAGAAAAGACAAAAAAUGUUGUGCUGGCUCUCUAAGUGAAGACAUUCUUCCAGUUCUCUGCUGAUGUAGUAUCCUCAGCUUUCAUUAUUAAAGACCCAUUAUGGGCUUUGGCUCCUACAGGUAAAUAUGCAGUAUCAUCCACUUUAUGUCAACUUUUCCCAAGUACCACAAAAGCUGCUAAAGAAAUUAAUCACCUUUUGAUUUCCAUGGGACAGUGGAAAACCUGUGAGAGAGAACUUAGGUAAUGAUAUCUGUUAUUAUCACCCUUCUGAAACUCACCACUGCUGAGUGAAAAUGAGCUUUGUGAAGGUAAUCAAU